rnacentral:rRNA from 1 species
GAUGAACGCUGGCGGCGUGCCUAAUACAUGCAAGUCGAGCGAACGGACGAGAAGCUUGCUUCUCUGAUGUUAGCGGCGGACGGGUGAGUAACACGUGGAUAACCUACCUAUAAGACUGGGAUAACUUCGGGAAACCGGAGCUAAUACCGGAUAAUAUUUUGAACCGCAUGGUUCAAAAGUGAAAGACGGUCUUGCUGUCACUUAUAGAUGGAUCCGCGCUGCAUUAGCUAGUUGGUAAGGUAACGGCUUACCAAGGCAACGAUACAUCGCCGACCUGAGAGGGUGAGCGGCCAUACUGGAACUGAGACACGGUCCAGACUCGUAAGGGAGGCAGAAGUAGGGAAUCUUCCACAAUGGAGGAAAGCCUAACGGAGCAACGCCGCGUGAGUGAUGAAGGUCUUCGGAUCGUAAAACUCUGUUAUUAGGGAAGAACAUAUGUGUAAGUAACUGUGCACAUCUUGACGGUACCUAAUCAGAAAGCCACGGCUAACUACGUG